CCUACGGGAGGCAGCAGUAGGGAAUAUUGGACAAUGGGCGAAAGCCUGAUCCAGCAAUGCCGCGUGAGUGAUGAAGGCCUUCGGGUUGUAAACUGCUUUUGUACGGAACGAAACGGUCUGCCCUAAUACGGUGGGCUAAUGACGGUACCGUAAGAAUAAGCACCGGCUAACUACGUGCCAGCAGCCGCGGUAAUACGUAGGGUGCGAGCGUUAAUCGGAAUUACUGGGCGUAAAGCGUGCGCAGGCGGUUAUGUAAGACAGAUGUGAAAUCCCCGGGCUCAACCUGGGACCUGCAUUUGUGACUGCAUAGCUAGAGUACGGUAGAGGGGGAUGGAAUUCCGCGUGUAGCAGUGAAAUGCGUAGAUAUGCGGAGGAACACCGAUGGCGAAGGCAAUCCCCUGGACCUGUACUGACGCUCAUGCACGAAAGCGUGGGGAGCAAACAGGAUUAGAUACCCUGGUAGUCCACGCCCUAAACGAUGUCAACUGGUUGUUGGGUCUUCACUGACUCAGUAACGAAGCUAACGCGUGAAGUUGACCGCCUGGGGAAGUACGGCCGCAAGGUUGAAACUUNAAAUUGAUUGNGNGNGAGAGNGCGAGACGACACGAGGAGGAGG
rnacentral:rRNA from 1 species